UACGAAGGGGACUAGCGUUGUUCGGAAUCACUGGGCGUAAAGCGCACGUAGGCGGAUUUGUAAGUCAGGGGUGAAAUCCCGGGGCUCAACCUCGGAACUGCCUUUGAUACUGCGAAUCUUGAGUCCGAUAGAGGUGGGUGGAAUUCCUAGUGUAGAGGUGAAAAUUCGUAGAUAUUAGGAAGAACACCAGUGGCGAAGGCGGCCCACUGGAUCGGUACUGACGCUGAGGUGCGAAAGCGUGGGGAGCAAACAGG
rnacentral:rRNA from 1 species